CUCUCUCUCUCUGUCUCUCCCUUUAGAUGCAGCGACAGCCAUCGCCAUCUCCACCUAUUACCCCUUUCUCAAUCGACCCUCUCUCUCUAUUUCCCCUUUUCCCUCUCUCAAUCGACCAUCUCUCUUUGUUUCCCCUUUCUCAAUCCAUCUUUCUCUCUCUCUCUCUCUCUCUCUCUCUGUGCGUGUGUCUUUUACAGACCAAAUCUAGGUUUUUCUCUCUCGAUCCUUCUAAAACGGAUUUGGAUUUUUCUCUCAAGCUACAAUAGAUUUUCGAUGUAGAGCUGGGGUUUUAGAUUCUGUUUUGUUAUUAUUUUUAAUAUUCAUGAGUGCUAAUGAUCCUAGCUUCUUGUACUUGUGAAAAUGCAGUUGUACUUCAAUGCAUCAGAUCCCUUAAGUGAGCUGUAGGAAAGAGCUUGGAUCAUCCCAGCUUUUUGGAACAUCCUUGCAUACUUAUUACUCAUUGUAAUAUGUAUCCUUUGGGCCCCAUCGCAUAACCCAACUAGGAUUUUACAUGUCACUUCACAGGGUCUGACUGCCUUGACUCUGCUUUCUUCCUUUUGCUACCUUGGGGUCAUGGGCAUAUUAAUAUCUCAAUAUUUUAUGAAGUCCUAAUACAGUGGGCCCUUCUCCACUCUAGAUCUUUCAAAAGGUGGUUCUUACCUGAUAUUGUACUUGGUCCCUCUGAAUUUCUUGUGAGCGUACUUUGAAUCUAUACUCGUACGGGUUUGAUUGAAGGAAACAGAACAGAGGCCUUAUAUGUUAUGAAAUGUGACUAGUUGGCAACUCUGAUCUUUGAGUUGGUGGGUGCAAGAAAAAUAACUUCCUGCAGUUUUGGUUUAUCUCUGAUUGAAUUUCAGAUAUUGAUCAAGUUGAAGGAUAAUAGACUGGUUGAAACUGUUGGGAUACCAGUUGAAGAUAAUAAAGGUUUUUAUCACCUCACUGCUUGUAUAUCUUCACAAGUAAGGUGCUUUUCACACAGCAACAAAUCCUUGCUGAUCAACUUUUCUUUUCAUGCGCAAUUUUCUGUUUGGGAAGUAAAAGGGUGUGAAUGUUAGCAAGAAUACUUACAUGCAUGUGUGCAUACACAUAAAUACAUAUAUACAUAUUCUAAUCUUCUUUGUUAGAUCAUAAAUUCUACUUUGUAUGUUUAGGUUUGAAUCUAAUGAUCCAGUCCCACAUAACCCAAAGAGUAAAACAACAGGGUGAAAUGACUGAUAGACU